CAGCCGCCGCGGUAAUACGUAGGUCCCGAGCGUUGUCCGGAUUUAUUGGGCGUAAGGCGAGCGCAGGCGGUUUGAUAAGUCUGAAGUUAAAGGCUGUGGCUCAACCAUAGUUCGCUUUGGAAACUGUCAAACUUGAGUGCAGAAGGGGAGAGUGGAAUUCCAUGUGUAGCGGUGAAAUGCGUAGACAUAUGGAGGAACACCGGUGGCGAAAGCGGCUCUCUGGUCUGUAACUGACGCUGAGGCUCGAAAGCGUGGGGAGCGAACAGGAUUAGAUACCCCAGUAGUCCCUGUCUCUUAUACA
rnacentral:rRNA from 1 species